AGAGUUUGAUCAUGGCUCAGGAUGAACGCUAGCGGCAGGCCUAACACAUGCAAGUCGAACGGUAAGGCCCUUUCGGGGGUACACGAGUGGCGCACGGGUGAGUAACGCGUAUGCAACCUACCUUUUACAGGGGUAUAGCUUCCGGAAACGGAAAUUAAUCCCCCAUAGUCCAUUUCCGCCGCAUGGCGGGCCUGGUAAAGCUCCGGCGGUAAAAGAUGGGCAUGCGUGGCAUUAGAUAGUUGGUGGGGUAACGGCCCACCAAGUCGACGAUGCCUAGGGGGUCUGAGAGGAUGGUCCCCCACACUGGUACUGAGACACGGACCAGACUCCUACGGGAGGCAGCAGUGAGGAAUAUUGGGCAAUGGGCGGGAGCCUGACCCAGCCAUGCCGCGUGCAGGACGACGGCCCUAUGGGUUGUAAACUGCUUUUAUACGGGAAGAACGGUCACUACGCGUAGUGAUUUGACGGUACCGUACGAAUAAGCACCGGCUAACUCCGUGCCAGCAGCCGCGGUAAUACGGAGGGUGCAGGCGUUAUCCGGAUUUAUUGGGUUUAAAGGGUGCGUAGGCGGGCCCAUAAGUCAGUGGUGAAAUCUCGUGGCUCAACCAUGAAAUUGCCAUUGAUACUGUGGGCCUUGAGUACAGUUGAGGUAGGCGGAAUGUGUCAUGUAGCGGUGAAAUGCUUAGAUAUGACCCAGAACACCGAUUGCGUAGGCAGCUUGCUAAACUGUCACUGACGCUGAUGCACGAAAGCGUGGGUAGCGAACAGGAUUAGAUACCCUGGUAGUCCACGCCGUAAACGAUGAUCACUCGCUGUGUGCGAUAUAUUGUACGCGGCCGAGCGAAAGCAUUAAGUGAUCCACCUGGGGAGUACGAUCGCAAGGUUGAAACUCAAAGGAAAUGACGGGGGCCCGCACAAGCGGAGGAACAUGUGGUUUAAUUCGAUGAUACGCGAGGAACCUUACCUGGGCUUAAAUGUAGAGUGCUUUCCGCCGAAAGGU
rnacentral:rRNA from 1 species